rnacentral:rRNA from 1 species
AAUAGAUACCCUGGUAGUCCACGCCGUAAACGAUGAGUGCUAAGUGUUAGAGGGUUUCCGCCCUUUAGUGCUGCAGCUAACGCAUUAAGCACUCCGCCUGGGGAGUACGGCCGCAAGGCUGAAACUCAAAGGAAUUGACGGGGGCCCGCACAAGCGGUGGAGCAUGUGGUUUAAUUCGAAGCAACGCGAAGAACCUUACCAGGUCUUGACAUCCUCUGCCAACCCUAGAGAUAGGGCGUUCCCCUUCGGGGGACAGAGUGACAGGUGGUGCAUGGUUGUCGUCAGCUCGUGUCGUGAGAUGUUGGGUUAAGUCCCGCAACGAGCGCAACCCUUGACCUUAGUUGCCAGCAUUCAGUUGGGCACUCUAAGGUGACUGCCGGUGACAAACCGGAGGAAGGUGGGGAUGACGUCAAAUCAUCAUGCCCCUUAUGACCUGGGCUACACACGUGCUACAAUGGAUGGUACAAAGGGCUGCGAGACCGCGAGGUUAAGCCAAUCCCAUAAAACCAUUCUCAGUUCGGAUUGCAGG